rnacentral:lncRNA from 1 species
UAUAUAUAGGAGUAGCUGUCCCGGUCAAUAUAUAUUGGAUUCUGGAUGAACAAGAAGAUAUACUCUAGCAUAUAGUCCCCGAUUGGGUUUGUAAUUUUGUAGGACUACUGCACCCAAUUGUCCAAGGGGUGUGUCCCUAUGGUGGGACAAUGACAUUGUGCAUAUAGUCAUGAUGAUACCCUCCACCACAAGGCCAGUUUUUACCCGAUCUUUUAUAUAUUUAUGUAUAGGUCUUUGUCAAUGAUACCAGAGGAGAAAUUCUGUGAUACUUGAAAUGAUCUCCAGCCGAAAGUUGAGUCCUUUGUAUAUGGUUUCUGUAUGAGAUAUCAGAGGAGGAGGAGGAGGAGCUCAUGAAAAUGGCAGCAGGGUCUUUAGAAAGCGCAACAUGCACCUGCCAAAGUUUAAGUACUUUGCGUGCCCUAAUCAACUGGCUUCAAUCUUAAGCAAAGCUUGUCUCUUUUGGGGCAUGGGAAAGGCACAGUUAUUGACGUUCUAUUGUUUACUUCAUGGGAAUCGCAUAAAGAAAGAUUAAGGGGAAAUCAAUAUUCAUUGCAGCUUAAAACCAUUUUUUGUCUUAGAUACAGACACUUGACUCGUUAAUGUCCACAGAGGCCCAAUAAGGCUCACAAAUGAGUGUACUUAAUUUUAUCAGAACAGCCCAUUAAUCUAAACAAUUGUAUCAUAUAGCAUUCGGAAAGAGUAUUCACUUGGUUACUGACCGAUUAGAAAUUUACGCUUAAUUACUUUUAGAUUUACAUCUAAUGGUCAAGAACAAAACAAUCACUAUGCUUAAAAGUUAGUAUCUCCACCAUUAGAUCUACAUUUAAUGGUGGUUGAGCAUAAAUUUCUUGAUGACUAGCUAGGCCGGUGAACAUGGCUGAAGGUUGAUUCACUUGGUUAUCUAUUCAUCUAGCGAUGAAAAAUGAAUGAUCACUUUGGUCGAAACACUUAAUAAACGUAUAAUCAUCACAACAUUUAAUAUUAAAUCUAAAUGUGGAUGAUCAUUGUGAUUACAAAUUGAUCAGUGGCCAUGUAAUUAAACGUUAUUGUUUCUAAUUGUAAUUAUAUGUCUUGUUUGGUUGAUGGAAAAGAAAUUGGUUCCUUGGUCUUUC